UACGUAGGGGGCAAGCGUUGUCCGGAAUCAUUGGGCGUAAAGAGCGUGUAGGCGGCUUGGCAAGUCUCGCGUGAAAUCCUGCGGCUCAACCGCAGGCGGUCGCGGGAAACUGCCUCGCUAGAGUCCGGAAGAGGAGAGUGGAAUUCCUGGUGUAGCGGUGGAAUGCGCAGAUAUCAGGAAGAACACCCGUGGCGAAGGCGGCUCUCUGGGACGGUAC
rnacentral:rRNA from 1 species